GCCCCCACUUAGGUCCAGAAUCAUGUGAAGAAAGAGGAAACGAGGAAAUAUGUUUUCAGAGGGAUGAGACGUCCUUUCCUCUGAAGCGUCACGUGAAUUCGUCAGCUGUAUGGGCGAAGUUAGCAAAGGCUUUCAGCUGCACAGCUUCCAGGAAGG